GGCUCAGUGGUCUAGUGGUAUGAUUCUCGCUUUGGGUGCGAGAGGCUUCGGGUUCGAUUCCCGUCUGAGCGC
rfam:Nematostella vectensis strain CH2 x CH6 NEMVEscaffold_39_Cont6467, whole genome shotgun sequence.